UGCAGUCGAGCGAUCUCUUCGGAGAUUCGGCGGACGGGUGAGUAACGCGUGGGAACGUGCCCUUUGCUUCGGAACAACCACUGGAAACGGGGGCUAAUACCGGAUAAGCCCUACGGGGGAAAGAUUUAUCGGGAAGGGAUCGGCCCGCGUUGGAUUAUGUUGUUGGUGGGGUAACGGCCCACCAAGCCGACGAUCCAUAGCUGGUUUGAGAGGAUGACCACCCACACUGGGACUGAGACACGGCCCACACUCCUACGGGAGGCAGCAGUGGGGAAUCAUACACAAUGGGCGCAAGCCUGAUCUUGCCAUGCCGCGUGAGCGAAAAAGGCCUUAGGGUUGUAAAGCUCUUUCACCGGUGAAGAUAAUGACGGUAGCCGGAAAAGAAGCCCCGGCCAACUCCGUGCCAGCAGCCGCGGUAAUACGGAGGGGGCUAGCGUUGUUCGGAAUUACUGGGCGUAAAGCGCGCGUAGGCGGGCUGUUAAUUCGGGGGUGAAAUCCCGGGGCUCAACCCCGGAACUGCCCUUGAUACUGGCAGCCUAGAGGUCUGGAGAGGCGGGUGGAAUUCCGAGUGUAGAGGUGAAAUUCGUAGAUAUUCGGAGGAACACCAGUGGCGAAGGCGGCUCGCUGGCCAGAUUCUGACCCUGAGGUGCAAAAGCGUGGGGAGCAAACAGGAUUAAAUACCCUGGUAGUCCACGCCGUAAACAAUGAAUGC
rnacentral:rRNA from 1 species